GUGAAUCAUCGAAUCUUUGAACGCAAAUUGCACUCCCUGGUAUUCCGGGGAGUAUGCUUGUUUGAGGGUCGUUAGAAGAAAAAUCGAAGCAUCGCUCUUUUUUUUUAGGGUUAUCGCGUCGGAAUUGAGCCGUCUUUCAAAUGUUAAUUCAUUUCAAAGUGGCUUAAAAUUCAUCCAUCCGGUACGAUUAAGGCGUAUUUAAUAUCAAUUUUGAUUAAGAACGCUCGAUUACGUACCAUCUCAUGCAGUACUUUUGACCUGGGUCAUCAGGUUCAUUCGUAUACUAUACUCAAAUUU
rnacentral:misc_RNA from 1 species